rnacentral:rRNA from 1 species
UACAGAGGGUGCUAACGUUGUUCGGAAUCACUGGGCAUAAAGCGCACGUAGGCGGCUUGGUAAGUGCGGUGUGAAAGCCCCCGGCCUAACCGGGGAACUGCAUCGCAGACUGCCAGGCUCGAGAGCGGGAGGGGAGACUGGAACUCCUGGUGGAGCGGUGAAAUGCGUAGAUAUCAGGAGGAACACCGGUGGUGAAAACGAGUCUCUGGUCCGCUUCUGACGCUCAGGUGCGAAAGCUAGGGGAGCAAACGGG